GAUGAACGCUGGCGGCGUGCCUAAUACAUGCAAGUCGAGCGAACAGACGAGGAGCUUGCUCCUCUGACGUUAGCGGCGGACGGGUGAGUAACACGUGGAUAACCUACCUAUAAGACUGGGAUAACUUCGGGAAACCGGAGCUAAUACCGGAUAAUAUAUUGAACCGCAUGGUUCAAUAGUGAAAGACGGUUUUGCUGUCACUUAUAGAUGGAUCCGCGCCGCAUUAGCUAGCUGGUAAGGUAACGGCUUACCAAGGCAACGAUGCGUAGCCGACCUGAGAGGGUGAUCGGCCACACUGGAACUGAGACACGGUCCAGACUCCUACGGGAGGCAGCAGUAGGGAAUCUUCCGCAAUGGGCGAAAGCCUGACGGAGCAACGUCGCGUGAGUGAUGAAGGUCUUCGGAUCGUAAAACUCUGUUAUUAGGGAAGAACAAAUGUGUAAGUAACUAUGCACGUCUUGACGGUACCUAAUCAGAAAGCCACGGCUAACUACGUG
rnacentral:rRNA from 1 species